UGUCACUACAUCUUGCAAAUCCUGGGGCCUGCCAAGUUGGAAAGGUCUUGAUUUUUAUUGUGGAGGUUUUUUUUCACAUUUUUUCAAAUGGGAGGGUUGCAGCAUUUCAAAAUACACUUGAAGUGAGGCCUUAUAUAUUUACAUCACAUAAUUUCAUAUAUUCAAAAACUAGGACUGCCACGUGCAACAGCUCAGGCACCUUGCUGAAGCCAGACCUCAGAGAAUAGCAGGCCCUCACUGGGUAGGCAGGGAGCGAUGUUGCUGUGUGGCCAAGCACUGGCCAUGUAGCCCGGGUUUGCAUCCCAUCUCAGUCUCUUCCUAGCUCUGUGAGGUGAAGGCAAGUCAUCACAACCUGUCUGUGCCUCAGUUCGUUCAUCUGUAAAUUUGGGCUAAUAAUUCCUCUUUGAGUUUUGUUAGGAUUUACGUAGUCUAUGUAAGCGACUUAGAACAAAUAUGUAUUUUAUCUGCAAAGAGAUUUAACAGUGCCUGGCAUAACUAGGCAAAUUAUAUGUGUGUGGGUUAAAAAUCAGAGAUCUGAGAGGCACUUCAGGGUGGAAGCAAUGUGACCUCACUGUAGACACAACAACACAGCAUGGGUGACGAAAGAGCCAGAGAAGCUAAUCUCAGGGCAGCCUGAAGCUGUGAACAGGAAUCAGGAGGGGUGGGUUUCUAGGGCAGGAAACUUCAGACUGCCUCAGCAAGAGGGCUCGCACAGGGCCUCUCUGACCCGAGGGUGUAGAUUCCAGUAUAGGUCUGCCACCUUCACCCCCACCACAGGGUACUGACAGACUUGAGUUUCUGAUGUAAACACCAUGAGCGUCCAUCACAGGGCUGGCAGGAGGAUAGACUUCUGACCCAAGACCCGCAGGGCUCCUGAAAUGUCAUUCUCUGGGCAGUUUCCCAAAUCUUUCCACAAGAAAGUCCUGACACGUGACCACCAAGGACCUCUCUGGAAAGUCCUAAUUUAUAACCUGUCUUGGUUAAUUAGAACACCUCUACCAUUCCUUUCAAGGUGCAAAUUAAACAGCUCAUCACUGCUUGCAAUUAAAACUUCUGCUCAAUUCUCUGUCCCUUAUCCACACCACCCUACCUCACCUGCAGAAUUGCGUCUCCAGAAUCUCUGCCCACUCAGUCCCAGCCACACAUCCCACCCUGAGCUGGGACCUGCAGACCUGCAGAGCAGAGUCAGUAGCAGUGGUGGGGAUAUACUAACCACUCACAUCACAAGAAUGGCUUUCCUCUCAGGGAAUUCUGUCUCUCCAAGAUUAAUGGGAAAGAAAGCUACCUUUCUCAGCCUACUUGCACCCAGGCUCCAGAUGUAAGACUGAGGUGCCUUCAAUUAUCUCGUGAACUGAGAACUUCCGGAAGUUCAAGAUGGAUUUAGAAAA